rnacentral:rRNA from 1 species
AGUGAACGCUGGCGGUAGGCCUAACACAUGCAAGUCGAACGGCAGCACAGUAAGAGCUUGCUCUUACGGGUGGCGAGUGGCGGACGGGUGAGGAAUACAUCGGAAUCUACUUUUUCGUGGGGGAUAACGUAGGGAAGCUUACGCUAAUACCGCAUACGACCUACGGGUGAAAGCAGGGGAUCUUCGGACCUUGCGCGAUUGAAUGAGCCGAUGUCGGAUUAGCUAGUUGGCGGGGUAAAGGCCCACCAAGGCGACGAUCCGUAGCUGGUCUGAGAGGAUGAUCAGCUACACUGGAACUGAGACACGGUCCAGACUCCUACGGGAGGCAGCAGUGGGGAAUAUUGGACAAUGGGCGCAAGCCUGAUCCAGCCAUACCGCGUGGGUGAAGAAGGCCUUCGGGUUGUAAAGCCCUUUUGUUGGGAAAGAAAAGCAGCAGGUUAAUACCCCGCUGUUCUGACGGUACCCAAAGAAUAAGCACCGGCUAACUUCGUG